GACGGGGGAUGCAAGUGUUAUCCGGAAUAAUUGGGCGUAAAGCGUCUGUAGGUGGUUUACCAAGUCUGUUGUUAAAAUCAAGGCGUUAACCCUGAUCCGGCAACAGAAACUAGUAGGCUGGAGUACGGUAGGGGCAGAGGGAAUUCUCGGUGUAGUGGUGAAAUACGUAGAUAUCGAGAAGAACACCAAUAGCGAAAGCACCCUGCUGGGCCGAAACUGACAUUGAGAGACGAAAGCUAGGGGAGCGAAAGGG
rnacentral:rRNA from 1 species